AGGCGAUUCAAAUGCGGCCGUUCUCUCUUCUUGUCACAAACGAAGUGUUCUUUAUUUCUUCGUUCCGUUCCUUCUUAGCCUAUUACAUGUAUGUAUUGGUGUGUCAGUUGCUGAUCGUGCGAACGGGACGCACAAAGUAGUGUCCGUAAGCACGAUCUUAACAUUAGCGUAAAAUUGUACUUAAAACUAAGAGUAUGUAUAUCUAGGACUGUAUGUACAAUCACUGUGUGUAUGUUACGGUAGUGUGCCUGCUUGCUACAAAAGGGAUGUCGCUCUUUCCAGUAAUGGGUAUCUUAAAGUCGAGACCCUUGACACAGCGCUCCUUCGUCUUUUUGCUUCGUCCAUUGUCUAUCAACGAGAAAUGCCGACUUUGAUGACGAUGACGAACCAGACGGAUCAACAUUUAUGAAUUUGUGGAAUUUUAGACAAGUCAGCGCGGCAGGAAAAAACAAGGACCAGGUCCCCAAGACACCAAGACACCAAUACACCAAGACAAAUGGGGCAGACGGAAAAGAAAGAAGAAGUCAGGAGGAAACCGGGAGGGAAAAAAGCUGCAUCAAAUUAUCGAGCAGUCUUUUCUCAGGAAAGAGACUCAGGUCUCGCAUACCCAUCACCGACCACCGUUCACCGUUCACCGAUCAGCGAUCAGCGAUCAGCGAUCAUGGGGGACUGGGACUCCUGACAAGGAUUUGAUGGCCGUCCGCCGAGCUCUUUGUUUGCUGCCAAACAGUAACCAUAUUGUUGUUGUAUAAUUAAGCCACAUUAGGCCAAAAAACUGAGAAGAGGUGGGAAGGAAAGGAGGAGAGAGCGAGAGAUGGAGAGACUGAGAGAUGGAGGGACUGAAAGAAGAACAGACCGGCCUCCAAGAACCGGCGGGCAUCUCGAAUGGAGCAUUAGACACGCGAUUUACAAUUUUUUAGGCUUUUGCAGCUCUCUGGAAAAUGGCUGCCCGCAAUAAUAAUUUAAUGGUGCAGCCGGAUAGUGAACCACAUCAUCGCCUUGCCUUGGCCAUAAUCAUCCUCUUGGCCAAACUCUUGGCCAGUCGAACCAACAAGAACAAAAACGAAGCGGCAAUCAGCCUAAUAGACCUGCCUUGCCACACGAGUGGGAGUGAGAGGGACGUGCAGGCCACGUAAGGUGGGCAAGACAGGUGGGGAACGAACAGUGGGCCGAGUUCGGGAUAAGUGCAUCAAAUUGUAUUCACCAAGAUGUGGACAAGGUGAGCUAAAACGUACUCGUAUUCAUUUUGAUACAAUGAAGGAGCAGCAUAGUAAGUAGGAGUAACAUAAGUGGGCUAAGUACCAGUACGCCAGUUGAACCAAGGUGCCUAAGAGCUGGCCAAGUGACUAAAAUGUAUUAUUAACGCAAGAGGGCCUCUCACCCCCCUUGCUCACGAUGAUCCCCAUCCCCAUUCCAGCUCCUCGACUCUCCAGUCUGCGCAGCGAAUGCAAUCUGCAACGCCCCGGGCCUUUUCCUCUUUUUUGGAGCUGCGCGGUGUACUUUCGGUGUUUCUCUGCGGCGACGCAAAAGUCGUCGAAAUGUUGGCGAUUCGCCGCGGUUCUCGACCACCCGACGAAGACUACCAAUUCAUUUUGAUAUCGGGCUUAUAAGGCCAGUUAAAAGUCUUUACUUAAAUUGACACUUUAGAUGGUACAAAUCCAGGUGCAAUAUUUAUUUCGCAAUGAUGUUCUAGUUAUCACCACUUAGAGCGAACUGGAGUUUAGGAGCAGAUUUUGAGAGAGUUGAGAAAUACGUGUGUUUAGUCGGCUGUACAUGAACCGCAGAUUAAUUUACUUAAAAACGUAAAACGUAAAACGUAAAUUUGGGCUUUUCUUUCCCCUCCCCUUCAGUUUCCUACUGCCUUUCGACUCGCGGCUAUUUCCUUUCAUUUCGGUUUCUUCUCUGUAUCUCUUUUAGCUUCGUUCGCAGCGUGUUUCACACUUUUUCAGUGAAGUCCGUCCGUCAGUCUAUCAGUCCCAAAGACAAUUCGAUACCCCCUGAUACCGCCCCUUUUCAAAAUUCAAUUACAAGGCACAGAACAGCAACAACAAUGGUCAAGUUGACACCUCACAACCUAAACGCAAACGUAAUGAUUGUUCGAUUUUGAUUAAUGAUUGCGGUGCAAAAAUAAAAGCAGACCGACUUUGACUUGAAUACGCGUUUUUUUCGAAGGGAAUGCCGGCAUUAGGAGCUAUGGUAUUGAAGUAAAAUCAUUUUGAAUUGAAAGGCAACAGAACGGCAAACUUCUGUUUGGAUUACUAUUUAGUUAAAACUUUUCUGAAAAACUUGUGAUGGGAAUAGUUGGCUAUGUUUGUUGGCAGUACAAAACUUCCUUCCUUUUAGCUGUGCCACCUCCUUUGGUCAGGUUAUGCAGGAAACAACUUUUGAAAUAUGCGUUUUUUGACAACAUUUUAGUUUUGUGUUUUUUGCUAUAAAAUAAUCUAUUUUUUUCCGAUAGCAGUAAAAAUAGUGGUCCAAAACAAGAAUGUCAUACCUCGUCGAGUUCGUAAUUAAAUUUCUAAUCAAACUGUGUUUUCAGAAAAAUUUUCAAAAAAAAAUUCUAUUCUUUUCACAUUUUUUGCAAUUUUUGAUGAUGUUAAAUUUACCUUACAAAAUAUGCGAAAUUUUUUUUUCGAAAAUCAAUUAACUUGUGAUGGGGAUAGUUAGCUGUGCUUAUUGGCAGUACGAAACGGUAUUCAUUUCAGCUCUGUCGCCGUUUUUGGCCAAGUUAUGGAGGAAACCCCGUUUAAAAUGUGAGGUUUUUGAAAUUUGCUGUUUUCUGGGUGUAUUGGCGGUACAAGACAGUCUUCGAGCUAGAGAGCUGAAAAGAUUCAGAUUGCUUUCAUGAAAAUCUCUAGCCCGAGCCCCUCAAGCCAUCCGACUCCCUUUAAAGACCGCCGCCUCUGGGGGAACCCCCGCCCGGGUGAGUGUGCGAUAUCUGUAUCUGCCAGAUGCAUCUAGUUUUGGCUCUCGACUUGCAUGGGGAUUGGGGCUCAAACAAUUUGCCGCCUGUCAGUGUGACAAGUGUUGCGAAAUGCCGCUGAAAAGCCGCUUUGCCGCACACACGGCAAAGACUCAUGGAUAGUUGAUAGUUGAUAGUUGAUGGCUGAGCAGACAGCUGAACAGUGAACUCUCCUCUUGACGCACCACUUGGCGUCUUGUAUUCAAGUUUGGUCAGUCCAUUCGUUGCGGAUAUGCCACGUCUUAGAGGCAAGUCGCUGAAUCAAAAAGGGAAUGGGUCUUGCGACUGAAUAAGAAGUUUUAUUUGUUUCCUAAGGCAUUUGUGUUUGAUUAAAAUUUUCACGUAAAAAGGAGCUUGAAGAGCUCGGUGAACUUCUGAAGCUGGGCUCUAAUACAUUUCGUUGCUUAUUUGAUUUACACUUUAUUUGAUUUAGCUGCCGUUUGGCUUCUUUUUUUGCCGUCUUGAGCGGCUUGAUGCGAAUUGACAGCUGUUUGCCAGAUGCCCGAGGUUGGGGGAGCGUUCAGAGGCGACUGUCAGCCAGACUCACUGGCGGCACAACUUCAAAGUCUACUGAUUUAAUUCGCCACGAAAGCGUUUGCAAUUAGCGAACGGUGACCACAGUUGGCGACGUUCAAUAAACGCGGGAAAAUGGGCAGGGAACUGUGAAUUGUAAAAAGUAGUAAACUUCGCUAAUUCAUAAUUCAUAACUUCAGAUCGGUGACUUAAUUCGCGGUGCAAAGAGCGGCAAAACCCCAAAACUAUUGAUGUUCCCCAGUGCCAUCAGCAGCGGCAUAUGCAGAUAGGCAUACCUUAGAUCUGUCACUCUUCAUUAGCCCUAGCUUAGAUUGUCCUUAUUCCAAACAUGUGGAUCGAGUCGAGUUAUUGUAGCAAGCCGAGCCGUGUUAGCCGUCUUUUCAGUCCCCUCAACGUGAUCGCUGCCACAACUGUCAAGCGAUGCCGACGACGUACGGCUGUCGUCUCACAAUUAAUUGACAUUUCGACUGCCGAGGAUUGUCAUUCAAAGGCAAACUUCGUCGAGCGGAAUGCACCGAAGGAUCCCCUCGCCAAUUGGCAGAGGACGCUGAGAUCCCGAGAUGCCGAGAUGCGGAGUCAUUCGCCGAACACCAAAAGGCACACCAUUAACUACUGUCUUUGGCCUGAACUGAAGGUAUGAGUGCUUGGUUUGAUAUGGAAGUUGCUCGAAGCAUUCACAGAGUUAUUUUUAGGGGCUUAUGGUACGAUAUAUAAACUUAAUCCUCGCUGCAUUUGCUGCACGGAAUGCCUUUAAGUCGCUGACUACUGCUGUGCCGAUCCGUUUCCAAGCUAGAUAAUCUGCCUCAGCGAUCGCAAAGGCCCAAAGGCACUUCAGCUGGCCCAGAUCUCUGGGGCUCUGCGAUGUUCUGCGGCUACGUCGGCAAUACAAUUGGCACAUGUUUGGCCAGUCCUGUCCCCGUCUGGAGCUACUUCGACGGUCUCUGGAGGGCAUCAGAGUUUGGGGAUCGGGAGACCUGACAGCCCGUGGCAUUGUAUGGGCUUUGGGGAAGAUUCGAAGAAAGAGAUCAAGGCGGCGAAGGGGGAGAGCGGUCGGGUCAAUUCACACGUGCGCAGGCGCGCAGUUCAAUUAACUUAAUUGCCAUGUAAUUACGAGGAGCAGCAACAACAGCAGCAGCAGCAACAGUGAGUAAUACCACGCCACAAACCACCACAUCGCAACGUCAUCUCCAACAUCCUGCUGCGCUGCGCAAUAGCGAAACAAAAGACUUAGGACACAAACCUGCUUUCGAGGCUUUUUGCGAUGGCACUUCUCCUAUACCCUCACAGAACUUUAUUUCGGAUUUAAUUUGGGAAAUGUUAGCUUGUAUCAAUUUAAUACAGUAUCUAGCGAAAGUCAACUAUUAACAUUUUUGCAACUAUCUGCCUUUUCUUUAUUUAGGUGUGUGUCUUGCUAUAUUUAUGAGAUAGUGUGGAUACGAGAUCGUACUCUCCACCUCAUCCACGACUUCCCCAGUGACUCCGACAUUCCAGUUGGAAUGGCCAGCCUGCUGCUCCUUCUUCUUCUGUUCCUCAACCCCAACCCCAACUCCAACUCCAACUCCAAAUCACUCCUCCUCCUGCUCCUCUCUUUCGCUUCCCAUUCGCCGAGUGGCUGGGAAGGCAUUUGAAAAACGUUGCCGCAUUUUUUACAGCAGAAAAUAAGAAAAAACGAGCAGCCUCUGCUGCAAAGGAAUGAACUAAUUGUUUUCAGUUUUUUCAUGUGCGUAUUUUUGUAUGUUUUUCUGGCGUUCUCCUGCUUUUCAGCCCUGUCAAAUUGCCUUCGCCAACAUUGCAACUGCCCUGCCCAUCAUUAUGGGAAUGGAGCUCCAGCAAAAGGUCCAAGCUCAUGGACACCGGUCACCUAAAGAAGUAUUUGGAUGUAUGCUUCCAACAUCCAUCCAUCAACGUUAAGGUAAUCUUCAUAUUUAUAUAUACAUAUAUGUAUAUGUAUAUAAGUUGUGCGCCAUUCGCGGGACUUCAAAGUCGCUGAUCCCUGAGCAG